rnacentral:lncRNA from 1 species
AAGAGUUGGAGAACAAGUCACUUUUUGGGCGGCGUUCAAACGCCCACGAGGGUGCCGCCCAAAAAGAGGCCUUGGAUCCGAGACGUGUGAAUGCCAUCCUGAGCUACACAGCAAGUCAUUUUGAUGCCACAACACGCGAAAUAAAAAACACAUUGUCAUCUAUGCUAGCGCGUGGAUAUUAAAAUCUUUUUAAUAAAUGCUAGUUUUCAAAAA